rnacentral:rRNA from 1 species
GACGGAGGAUGCAAGCGUUAUCCGGCAUGAUUGGGCGCAAAGCGUUCGCAGGUGGCUGUUCAAGUCUGCUGUCAAAGACCGGGGCUUAACCCUAGAAAGGCAGUGGAAACUGGACGGCUGGAGUGCAGUAUGGGUAGAGGGAAUUCCCAGUGUAGCGGUGAAAUGCGUAGAGAUUGGGAAGAACACCGGUGGCGAAAGCGCUCUGCUGGACUGCAACUGACACUGAGGGACGAAAGUUAGGGGAGCGAAAGGG